rnacentral:rRNA from 1 species
AGGGAAUAUUGCGCAAUGGGCGAAAGCCUGACGCAGCGACGCCGCGUGAGUGAUGAAGGCCUUAGGGUCGUAAAGCUCUGUUGAAUGGGAAGAAAAAAAUGACGGUACCAUUCGAGGAAGGACCGGCUAACUUCGUGCCAGCAGCCGCGGUAAUACGAGGGGUCCUAGCGUUGUUCGGAAUCAUUGGGCGUAAAGGGUGUGUAGGUGGCCUUAUAAGUCAGGUGUGAAAGCCCCGGGCUCAACCCGGGAAGUGCAUCUGAUACUGUUUGGCUUGAGUACCGAAGAGGAUAGUGGAAUUCCAGGUGUAGUGGUGAAAUACGUAGAUAUCUGGAGGAACACCGGUGGCGAAGGCGGCUAUCUGGUCGAGUACUGACACUGAGACACGAAAGCGUGGGGAUCAAAC